rnacentral:lncRNA from 1 species
UUGGGCAAACGCAGUACAUACACGAGUGGAUUCACAGCAUAAUUGACGAAAAAUAGACAAGAAAGUAUUCCGAAUAGAAUUUGCACUGUCAGGCCAUCGAUGAGCAAGUUUUGCAAUGCAACAUAUUGGUAGAAUAUCGACGGAAGGACGACACAAACGACUGCGAUAGACGCUAGAAGAAUAAUUGUUCUCAAAAAUCGUUUUUC